UCAUACAUUUUUGCCUCCGGUACUGAGGUGUAAAUGAAAAUGAAUGCUACUUUAAUUCACGUAAACGUAUAUACUUCAAUUGUUUUAUUCUGUGCAUAUUCUGUUAUCUAGUGAGAGUCAUAUCUCUGCCCACAUACUUUAUUUUUAAAAGAAAACAAUAUGUAGGUAGAAAAUAGGCAAACAAUAUUUACCUAUUAUUUUAUGACCAAAAAUUUAUGCUAGACAUCAAUAAAUUCGGAUUGUCCAGUAUAUUUUCCAUUUUUUCUAUUUGUUUGUGGAUUUUUUUGCUUUUUUUGUUACUGAAUGAGAGUCAUCAAAUCAUUUUUCAUAAUUGGUUUGGUACUCAAUCUGCAAUACACAAGUUCCACAGAAAAAAAUCGUAAAAUAUCUCGGAAUGCACCUGGACCGAAGACUUCCCAGCUAGCAUUUGGGAGAUUGUUUUUGAAGUAAUCAUUUUGGUGAGUCUUCUUCGUGUCCUUUUGGACACGAACUCACUUGUAUAACCGAAAAUGACUCUCUAUAUUGAGUAAAAAGAGAUCAAUUUAAUAUACAACAACAAAAUGUAUGGAAAUCGAAAAUCAAUCAUUAAAAUGUGCAAAAUGUGACUAUUUGUUGCGUUAUUUAUUAUCGUAUUGCGAUCAUGUAGAGAUUGAAAAAUGAUUAGUCUUAGGAAGAUCAUACAGCUGUUUGAAAAAUGAUCAUAAUUAUGUAUUUUUUAUCAUAUUUUGAACAGAUAAGUAGAUUAAAUUCUGCUUGUUUUGCUAUACAUAACGAGACAUGUUCUUGCGUUUCUGGAGCUGACUUUUCUGGAGCUCAUUUAUAAAUAGUGCGUAGAGCUGUAAACAUUAAAAGUGUAAAAUAUUGAAAAGUGAAAUAAAAUAUAUUUAAAAAGUUUAAGUAAAUUUGAUUUUUUAUAAAGAAAAUGUCAGCAAAUCAAAUUAAAACAUGGAAAAGGCUCAAAUAAAAACGGAUGGCAAAAAUGGUGCAGAAAAUUUUUAUUUCGAAAAAAGAAAUUAAACUGAAAACGAGAAUAAUGAAGAUUAUGUUCAGAGACGUGAAAAGAGUUUUGAAGAGCGUGUUGAUACAAUUUCAAAUUUUGCAUUCCUUCGAUGAUUGAUUAUUAUCAUUGAUUAUCUAACUAACUAGCUAACUAUUUAAAUAACUACUUAACAAACUAAUAAUAAAUACUUAUAUAGUUUUCUAAUAACCUAGUUCCAGAAAGAGUUUAUUGCCAAAACCGGCGGUGAAGGAUCCGCACAAUUCCCUCGGGCUCCAGUUCGAAAAAAUUGUUUUAUAUAAUUUAGCCUACCAAUACAGCUGGAUAGGGACCAAUGUAAAGCCGAUUGCAGAAAAGUCCUUUUUAGUGACGAUAAUUCAAAAUAUUUGUAAUCUUAAAUACAAGAGCAACGACAAGGAUGCGUAUACAAUCCUUCAAAAACGUUUUGUUCACGUUAAAGAGCGGGUGAUGAAAAAAAACGUUCGGAUUAGAUUUCCGGAUUUUUUAUUUUGUAAUUUUUAAUUUUUUUGCUAUAAUUUUUUUUACCAAGAAAAUUUUUUUACCUAGAAAAAAUGGCAUUUAUUGAAAUUAAAAAUGUUGUUUAUAUUACACAUGAAAAUGAACAUGGAAAAUACUAGUACACAUUAUAGUUAUAAAAGCUGAAUUAAUUUUAUUUUAAAUAAACGUUUAUACAAACAUA